AGUGGCAAAGGUUAUUAAUGAUUACUUUAAAAAAAAGGUAAACAUUUGGCAACCUUCAGUAACUGGGGCUACCGGAGAACACACAACACACAUACCAGAAGCUCUUGAGACAAUCACUUUAGUUACUUUAGUUCUCUCCGAGGAGGCUGGGCCAUUAGAUGAAUGGCUGUGGGAAAGCAGCAGAAGGGAAGAGUUUGUUUCCUGUUUGGCAAAUCCAAAAGCUCCAGGCAAAGGAAAGAAACAAGAAGUUGCAUGAGCAAUACCUAGAGUGAGAAACAAGAUGGAAGCAUUUCAAUCAAAAUACUGAUUUUCAGCCUUCUGCCCCCAAUGAACCCAGAGAUGUUCCAAACACACACCUAGCCCAGCACUGAAUCAGUGAGAAUCCCAGGGCUGCUGCUGACUCAGAAGCUCCGUGGGCUUGGCAACAGCUGCAUUUCCUGAGGCCAGUCAUCCUGUGAGCCACAAGUGAGGCAAAGGGGAAAGGAAAGCCCAGAAUAAACUUGUGAAAAAGGAACAAUAGGCUUGAGAAGAGCAAAAAAACGGUAGGGGACACAUGUCAGACAGACAUAUGCCAGGCUGACCAAAUCUUGGAUUAGUAGAGAGGAAAUGGCGCCAGGUUUGAAUAUUCCAUGUAUAUGUAACUAGUUGGUGAAUUUCACUGUCACUAAUGAAUGGAGAAAUUAUUUUCCUUUCCAAUUGUUUCUUGCAAAUGGAUCUUCUGACAUUAAAACUAUGAACCUAUACAUA